rnacentral:rRNA from 1 species
GACGAACGCUGGCGGCGUGCCUAAUACAUGCAAGUCGAACGAGAGCGACCGGUGCUUGCACUGGUCAAUCUAGUGGCGAACGGGUGAGUAACACGUGGGUAACCUGCCCAUCAGAGGGGGAUAACAUCCGGAAACAGAUGCUAAAACCGCAUAGGUCUUCGAGCCGCAUGGCUUGAAGAGGAAAAGAGGCGCAAGCUUCUGCUGAUGGAUGGACCCGCGGUGCAUUAGCUAGUUGGUGAGGUAACGGCUCACCAAGGCCGUGAUGCAUAGCCGACCUGAGAGGGUGAUCGGCCACAUUGGGACUGAGACACGGCCCAAACUCCUACGGGAGGCAGCAGUAGGGAAUCUUCCGCAAUGGACGCAAGUCUGACGGAGCAACGCCGCGUGAGUGAAGAAGGUUUUCGGAUCGUAAAACUCUGUUGUUAGAGAAGAACAAGUGCUAGAGUAACUGUUAGCGCCUUGACGGUAUCUAACCAGAAAGCCACGGCUAACUACGUGCCAGCAGCCGCGGUAAUACGUAGGUGGCAAGCGUUGUCCGGAUUUAUUGGGCGUAAAGCGAGCGCAGGCGGUUCCUUAAGUCUGAUGUGAAAGCCCCCGGCUCAACCGGGGAGGGUCAUUGGAAACUGGGGAACUUGAGUGCAGAAGAGGAGAGUGGAAUUCCAUGUGUAGCGGUGAAAUGCGUAGAUAUAUGGAGGAACACCAGUGGCGAAGGCGACUCUCUGGUCUGUAACUGACGCUGAGGCUCGAAAGCGUGGGUAGCAAACAGG